AUUAUGUGAUGAACUAACUUAACCAUCUUUCGACUGAAAAAAGUGAUGCUUAAAAGUUUGUACUGAGUUUGAGC